CUAUACAUGACUCUGUGCAUAUCAAUAAGCGGAGGAAAAGAAACUAACAAGGAUUCCCCUAGUAACGGCGAGUGAAGCGGGAAGAGCUCAAAUUUGAAAUCUUAAAGGUUUUCCCUUGACGAAUUGUAGUUUAAAGAAGUGUUUUCUGUUGAGGUUUUGGUAAAAGUUCUUUGGAAUAGGACAUCAUAGAGGGUGAGAAUCCCGUAUUUGACCAUUACUUUCAGCUUUGUGAUACACUUUCAAAGAGUCGGAUUGUUUGGGAAUGCAGUCCAAAAUGGGUGGUAAAUUUCAUCUAAAGCUAAAUAUUGGCGAGAGACCGAUAGCGAACAAGUACCGUGAGGGAAAGAUGAAAAGAACUUUGAAAAGAGAGUUAAACAGUACGUGAAAUUGUCAAAAGGGAAGCGUUUGACACCAGUGUUGUUUUUCUGAAAAUCAAUUAAAAUGGACUCGAUUUAUGCUAUUGUUGAGACCUUCAUCAGCUAACUGUUAAUUUUUGAGUCUUUUCUUUAAUGCACUUUUCAGUUAACAAGUCAACAUCAAUUUCUUUUGCUGUAAAAAAGCUUGAGGAAGGUGGCUUGAGAUUCGUCUUAAGUGUUUAUAGCCUCUUGCCUAUGCAGUCGGAGAGAUUGAGGUCUGCAGCGUAGAUCCUUCGGGGCUAAAUGCAUUUGUGCUAAGUUAUAGCAUUUUAUAGACAACUUGUUGACUAUGAUUUGUCUUGUAGCUUACUCGCUUAUGUUAUUUUACCUACGCUUAGGAUGUUGACAGCAGUAUAGACUGU
rnacentral:rRNA from 1 species